UACGGGGGGGGCAAGCGUUGUUCGGAAUUACUGGGCGUAAAGGGCUCGUAGGCGGCCAACUAAGUCAGACGUGAAAUCCCUCGGCUUAACCGGGGAACUGCGUCUGAUACUGGAUGGCUUGAAUCCGGGAGAGGGAUGCGGAAUUCCAGGUGUAGCGGUGAAAUGCGUAGAUAUCUGGAGGAACACCGGUGGCGAAGGCGGCAUCCUGGACCAAUUCUGACACUGAGGAGCGAAAGCCAGGGGAGCAAACGGG
rnacentral:rRNA from 1 species